rnacentral:rRNA from 1 species
UACGAAGGGGGCUAGCGUUGCUCGGAUUUACUGGGCGUAAAGGGCGCGUAGGCGGACAGUUAAGUUGGGGGUGAAAGCCCGGGGCUCAACCUCGGAAUUGCCUUCAAUACUGGCUGUCUUGAGUGUGAGAGAGGUGUGUGGAACUCCGAGUGUAGAGGUGAAAUUCGUAGAUAUUCGCAAGAACACCAGUGGCGAAGGCGGCUCACUGGCCCGAUACUGACGCUGAGGCACGAAAGCGUGGGGAGCAAACAGG